rnacentral:rRNA from 1 species
GACGAACGCUGGCGGCGUGCUUAACACAUGCAAGUCGAACGGAAAGGCCCUGCCUUUGUGGGGUGCUCGAGUGGCGAACGGGUGAGUAACACGUGAGUAACCUGCCCUUGACUUUGGGAUAACUUCAGGAAACUGGGGCUAAUACCGGAUAGGAGCUCCUGCUGCAUGGUGGGGGUUGGAAAGUUUCGGCGGUUGGGGAUGGACUCGCGGCUUAUCAGCUUGUUGGUGGGGUAGUGGCUUACCAAGGCUUUGACGGGUAGCCGGCCUGAGAGGGUGACCGGCCACAUUGGGACUGAGAUACGGCCCAGACUCCUACGGGAGGCAGCAGUGGGGAAUAUUGCACAAUGGGCGGAAGCCUGAUGCAGCAACGCCGCGUGCGGGAUGACGGCCUUCGGGUUGUAAACCGCUUUCGCCUGUGACGAAGCGUGAGUGACGGUAAUGGGUAAAGAGGCACCGGCUAACUACGUG